rnacentral:rRNA from 1 species
AACGAACGCUGGCGGCAUGCCUAACACAUGCAAGUCGAACGAGAUCUUCGGGUCUAGUGGCGCACGGGUGCGUAACGCGUGGGAAUCUGCCCUUUGGUUCGGAAUAACAGUUGGAAACGACUGCUAAUACCGGAUGAUGACGAAAGUCCAAAGAUUUAUCGCCAGAGGAUGAGCCCGCGUAGGAUUAGCUAGUUGGUGUGGUAAAGGCGCACCAAGGCGACGAUCCUUAGCUGGUCUGAGAGGAUGAUCAGCCACACUGGGAAUGAGACACGGCCCAGACUCCUACGGGAGGCAGCAGUGGGGAAUAUUGGACAAUGGGCGAAAGCCUGAUCCAGCAAUGCCGCGUGAGUGAUGAAGGCCUUAGGGUUGUAAAGCUCUUUCACCCGGGAUGAUAAUGACAGUACCGGGAGAAUAAGCUCCGGCUAACUCCGUGCCAGCAGCCGCGGUAA